CGUCUAGACGACGUACAAUAUCUCAGAAGACUCAGAAGACUCAGAAGACUUUCCGGGGCUAUAUUCGUAAAAAUGAAUUCUGUUUUUUUUUGUUUGGUCACAAGGAGCUGGCUGUAAUUUCACAAGGCUUUUAGGUUAGUUUUGCAUUUGAUUCAAGUUUGAAUAUAAUUUUGCAUUUAAAAUCAAGUUUUGAGUCAUAUUUGGUAAAUUCCCCUUCAAAAUAACCUAUAAUUUUGCGAGUUUAGACAUAAUUUUUAAUGAAAUACUGUGAUACCAUUUAUAAUUAUAAGAAAAUAACUAUAAUAAUUAUAAAUGAGAUAUAUAAUAUUAUUAUAACAAAAGUUGGAUAGAUAAGUAACAUAAGAAAAUAUAGAUAAGUUUCACAUAACUUAUUUGUUUAUAUACAUUUUUUUUGUCAUAAACUGAACAAACUCAAUUAAUACUCCGUAAACAAAACCUGGAGUUCUGCAUCUAUAUGUAUGACAAAUGAGAGUUGUUUCCUGGCAAUGCGUGUGAGAUUGUCUGCCUUCUUGUGCUGCGUUCGUGGUAUAUGAAUAAGCUCAGGAUGAGUGAAGCUUCUUCUCAAGAGCUUGAUGUCUUCUAGAUAACUUUCAAAGGCUGGUCAUUCCUCUGGUUUCGAAACCAUCUUCACCAAUUGAGAGCGAUCCGUUGCAAUAGUAACAUGAUACUGCCGUAAAUUCGUUUAUAUACGUUAAAACAGAGAAACAACAAACAAAUUAAAACAAACUGCUAAAAAUAGUCAUCAUUAACUUUACUAUAUAAAUCACCAAGAAUAACACAAUAUUACCACACAAUCAUCUUUUCACGAUCAAAACCAUACUAAACUGUAAUACUCAUUUCAUACUUGUUCUAUUAAAAUACAUUAUGACGACUCAAACUUUGAAAAAAUCAUGCACUAUUUUCAUGAUUGUAGUUAUAUGUACAAUGAUGCUUUCAACACAAAAUUCUCUUUCAACCAGCGUUGAAAAAUGUGUCAAACACUGCAUCCCGAAUCAGUGUAUGAAAGUAGCCAAAAAGAUGAUCUGACUAUCUGUUAAGAAGCUUGCAAAAGGUUUUGCAACAAACAAAUACCAAGUCAUGAAUAAUAUAUUGUUCCUACGGUUGGUUAUUUCAUCUGCAACUAUUUCUUGAAUUUUUUUUCAUAAAUACGUUCAAAUUUGUAAAUUACCACUGUUUUCUUAUUCUUACAUAUCUAUAUAUAUAAAGUAUGGUUUGCUCUUUUCUGGAGCAUGCCACCUAUGAUUCUACGUCAUAAAAUCGUGCUCCGUGGUGACGACACGUGUCCCUGUUUGAGUUUUUGUUUAGAUACGAGAUGGGCCUUGCUGUUGGGGUUUUGUCUUAGGUUAUUUAGGUUUUAAUGUACAAAAGCCCAGCCCGUUUGUGAGCUAAUCUUCUCACGACAGCUACCAGUUAGGGUUCACCUCUUCUCCGAUAUCUGGAAAGCUUCAACAAUAAUGGUGACUUCUGAUGGUUUUUUUUUUUGCGGUAGAUCUUCAUGGAGAAUCUCUCAUCGAGCUCAGUUCGUUUCGUGUAUACUGGGAUUCUUCUCUUCCGAACCAUUACAGAAUGCAUUGAAUCAUUACCAUUAACGAACGUCUUAACUCUUCGAUCCACUCUUCCUCAUUCAAUGCAUCUGCACUCUCUUCCAAGAGAUGCAUCUGCAACUAUAAAAAGUUAAUUCUUCGUACCGUAAACAUCAUCCUAAAAAAAUAUCUCUUUGAGAUCUUAUAAGGUUUUCAAUCUAAGAAAGUUUAGAUUUUUAUUGGUUUCUUGCUAUUCUCCUUCAGUUAAUUUGUUUGUUUCUAAUUUACAUUCUUAUGUUCUUUGAGUUACUGUUGAUUUCUUAUAACUUGAUCGUUUAUGAUUUUGCAGAAUCUUCCAACUCAUAUGCCAAAAGAUACAGUUUUGGAUGUUCUCAAAAUCUUAGUUGGUAAGGAAUCCAUCACCUAACACAGUCUUUUUGAUUUCUAUAGGCUCUUCUUAUAUGCUGUUUCAUAAAAGUAAAUGUUCCUUUUUCGCUGGGGAUCUAAAAAGACAUCCGAUUCUCAUACACUGCAAAGCAAGAAAUGUAAUCUACAGACAUCAAUUUUUUAUCGUCUUCUUUUUUUAAGAGAAGUUAAUAAAGGAUAUUUUUUUGUGGUCUUUUAUGAGAUUAGUUCUCUGCAAGACAUUAAUGGUUUGAUGGUUAUGACGAGAACUCAAUAUGAAUGCGGCAUAGGAAAAGUUGUCUGGUACGGUGCUUAAAAAAAGUUCAGAGCUGGGUUUUAUUAUCGGUGAAAUUGUUAUAAACAUGGUUGUUGGAGGUGAAGUAACCACUCUCAAAGGCCUUGAAGAAAUCAGCGGCAUUAUCAUCACAGAGAUGCUAAUCAAUGUUUCUGAGAACUUACAAAAAUUUAAGGACUCCUAUGAUCUGAAGAAUACCAUCAAAAUUUUGUUUGAUGUCUCUUGAGCUUCAAAUUAUAUGUUACCUGACCUUCUCUGUAGAAUCAAUUGUUUGUGUUAAACUACAGAAUAUGUCUCCCUGUCUCUCUGCUGCAUUUAGCCAUUAAGUUGAUCACUAUGGUCUACAAGUAUGCGUGUUUUAAAUUGGAAGUGGAGACGAAGGGAAUCAAAUUCACGGAGACAUUUGAUAUCAUGCUCUCAUUCCUAAUCAUCUAAGCAAAUUUAUAAAGAACAUUGUACUUCUCUCUCAAAACCUUUCUAAACACCAAAGUGAGAUUUUAAAUAAUGUACUAACUGUUUUUAUUCUUUUCACUUAUAAAAGAAAAUAAUCAGAAGAUAACGUAAAACAAACAAAUGCAUGAGCUAUUUGUCUUUGUUAAACGUAUACAAAAUUCUCAAUAUUAACUUCAAGACAUUUAAUAGUCUGUUAACUUUAUUGGUAAAAUGAUAGUGAUUCGUUGUGACUUUUCUAUUUCACAAAGGAUAAAACAAUUGUUGUGAAAUAUUUUUUGUUUAUAGUAUAAAACAAUUAUUAUUGCAAUUAAUAUUUUCUACUUCAUCAAAUUCAAGCCAAGGAAAAAAUGAAUGAAAUAAUCAAAGGUUAUCCUUUUCCUGACCAAAUUCAAAUUUAGAUAAAUUAAAUAUUUAAUAGAAAACCAAAAAGAAAAAAAAUAACACACCAUCAAAAAUAAUUUUGUAAACAAUUAUCCAAAAUAGUAAAUAUAAAAUAAAUAGAAUUACAAUUUAGUGAAAUACACAAUAUAACAAAAUACAUAAUAUAGCACAAAUAUGUAAUUUAACAAAAAUAUAAAGGUUUACCUAACAAAAAUAUUUUUCAAAAACACACACAAUGGAUUAGUUCAAGCAUCCGAUGAACCGCCAUAAGCCUCAGUAACAGCAGGUGAAUACAUAUGUUUUCCUGUUUAAACAGUGGAAGCCGUGGCAACUACAUGACAAACGUUUAUGUUAAUCUAAGAGACACUGCGAGUUGUUUACUUCUACUAAACUGGUACACAUUCUAUUUUCAGAAAGUAAUUAUCCAAUAUUGACAUCGUACUUAUACAAAAUAAAUACCAUAAAAAAAACAAUUUUAUCAAAACAGAUCUUAGCUAAGUGAGAUGCAGACCCGUUUCAAUAAACAAAAGGAAAAGACGACAUAUUGCUCGGAGCAUAACCUCCCCUAUAAAAUUCCCCACCCACUAAACAUUUGUUUACUAUUUUAAAUAUACGUAGUUUUAUUAUUUUAAUAUUUAAUUAGUUACGCCACAUAUCUACUAAAAGAAAAGAUGAAAAGAGUAAACUAAGAUCUUUUAUUAGAAUGAUUAUUCUUUACUUUAGUUUAUAAAAUUAAAUACUAAUAUCAUAUUAUAAAUUAUGCAACUUUGGUCCAAAGUAGGCCUAAAUUUGAAUUUUGUUUUUCUCAAUUUAUGUAUUUCAUUAGUUUAUGAACUUUAAAGUGAUUACUAAGUUUUUAUAAUUCGUAGAAUCCCCAAAACAUUAACUAAAAUAAUCAAAAUAUGAAAUUACAAUAUUAAUAACCAUAUAUAUAUAACCAUAUUUAACUAACUAUAACAAAUUUAAACCAAAUUAGAAGCUGAAAAAUAAAAACAUGCCUAAAUUGAAUAUUUUACAAAAUCAAAUAGUUAAAAUACCCAAAAAAUUUAAU